rnacentral:tRNA from 1 species
GGGCGGGUAGCUCAGAGGUAGAGCGUGUGCUUAGCAUGCACGAGGUCCUGGGUUCCACCCCCAGUGCCCCCC